rnacentral:lncRNA from 1 species
AUUAUUUGUAAUUAAAUGUAAACUGUAGAGGAUUGAGAAGAAAAAAAAUUACAAUGGGAAGCUUCAAACAUUUGUACACAAAAAUGUCACGUAUGUACAGCCAUGAGAGAUACUUCGAAGGACCUAAUAAUAUUAACAAUUGUAUGAAUGAUUAUAUUCAAAUAAAAAAAACAUAUUGAACAUAUCUUAAAAACAGGAAAAACAUAGCGCAUUUUGUUAUUCUUAUUCGGUAUAGUGAGAAAACGCAGA